rnacentral:rRNA from 1 species
GAUGAACGCUGGCGGUAUGCUUAACACAUGCAAGUCGAACGGAUGUUUUCGGACAUUAGUGGCGGACGGGUGAGUAACGCGUGAGAAUCUAGCUUCAGGUUGGGGACAACAGUUGGAAACGACUGCUAAUACCGAAUAUGCCGAGAGGUGAAAGAUUAAUUGCCUGAAGAAGAGCUCGCGUCUGAUUAGCUAGUUGGUGGGGUAAGAGCUUACCAAGGCGACGAUCGGUAGCUGGUCUGAGAGGACGAUCAGCCACACUGGGACUGAGACACGGCCCAGACUCCUACGGGAGGCAGCAGUGGGGAAUUUUCCGCAAUGGGCGAAAGCCUGACGGAGCAAUACCGCGUGAGGGAAGAAGGCUCUUGGGUUGUAAACCUCUUUUCUUAGGGAAGAAAAAAAUGACGGUACCUAAGGAAUAAGCAUCGGCUAACUCCGUGCCAGCAGCCGCGGUAAUACGGAGGAUGCAAGCGUUAUCCGGAAUGAUUGGGCGUAAAGCGUCCGCAGGUGGCAAGUCAAGUUUGCGGUUAAAGGUUCUGGCUCAACCAGAGACAGGCCGUGAAAACUGACUAGCUAGAGUAUGGUAGGGGCAGAGGGAAUUCCCAGUGUAGCGGUGAAAUGCGUAGAGAUUGGGAAGAACACCGGUGGCGAAAGCGCUCUGCUAGGCCAAAACUGACACUGAGGGACGAAAGCUAGGGGAGCGAAUGGGAUUAGAUACCCCAGUAGUCCUAGCCGUAAACGAUGGAUACUAGGUGUAGCUUG